rnacentral:lncRNA from 1 species
CUCUUAUGAAAAUAUUACUACUACCAACUUCUUAAAUUUUACUACUCCGUAUAGGAAUAUAAAUCUUCAUUUAUCUACUAGGCCUACAUCAAAAUACAUAUAACCAUAACCAACACUUGUCACCUCUCGGGAAAGCUGCUAUUAUAUUAUUGUUAUAUUAUACUACUACAAUAAUUCUAGGAGAAUAUUUUUUUGUUGAUAUUUUUAACGAUAUUUUUU